CAAGUCAAGGGGGCCCAGCAAUGGGCAACCGGCGAACGGGUGCGUAACACGUGAGCAACCUACCGAAAUGCGGGGGAUAGCCGGCCUAACGGCCGAGUAAUACCGCAUACGCUCUUUAUGAGGCAUUUCAUGGAGAGGAAACCUACGGGGUAUUUCGAGGGGCUCGCGGCCUAUCAGCUAGUUGGCGAGGUAACGGCUCACCAAGGCAACGACGGGUAGCUGGUCUGAGAGGAUGGCCAGCCACAUUGGGACUGAGAUACGGCCCAGACUCCUACGGGAGGCAGCAGUGGGGAAUCUUGCGCAAUGGCCUAACGGCUGACGCAGCGACGCCGCGUGUGGGAUGAAGCUCCUCGGAGUGUAAACCACUGUUGCCCGGGACGAAUAGCUCGAUUAAUCGAGCCUGACGGUACCGGGUGAGGAAGCACCGGCUAACUCCGUGCCAGCAGCCGCGGUAAUACGGGGGGUGCGAGCGUUGUCCGGAAUCACUGGGCGUAAAGGGCGCGUAGGUGGUUUGAUAAGGGUGUGGUGAAAGUCCGGGGCUCAACCCCGGAUCUGCCGUGCCGACUGUCAAACUCGAGGACUGUAGAGGCAGACGGAAUUCCGGGUGUAGCGGUGGAAUGCGUAGAGAUCCGGAGGAAGACCGGUGGCGAAGGCGGUCUGCUGGGCAGUUUCUGACACUGAGGCGCGACAGCGUGGGGAGCAAACAGGAUUAGAUACCCUGGUAGUCCACGCCGUAAACGAUGGGUACUAGGUGCCUGGGGGAGCGACCCUCUGGGUGCCGGCGCUAACGCAGGAAGUACCCCGCCUGGGGGAGUACGACCGCAAGGU
rnacentral:rRNA from 1 species